UACGGAGGGGGUUAGCGUUGUUCGGAAUUACUGGGCGUAAAGCGCACGUAGGCGGAUUUGUAAGUCGGGGGUGAAAUCCCGGGGCUCAACCCCGGAACUGCCUUCGAUACUGCAAGUCUGGAGGUCGAGAGAGGUGAGUGGAAUUCCGAGUGUAGAGGUGAAAUUCGUAGAUAUUCGGAGGAACACCAGUGGCGAAGGCGGCUCACUGGCUCGAUACUGACGCUGAGGUGCGAAAGCGUGGGGAGCAAACAGG
rnacentral:rRNA from 1 species